GGUGGAUUAUGGCGAACGGGUGAGUAACACGUGAGUAACCUGCCCUUAACUCUGGGAUAAGCGCUGGAAACGGCGUCUAAUACCGGAUAUGACAACCGACGGCAUCGUCUGGUUGUGGAAAGAAUUUUGGUCAAGGAUGGACUCGCGGCCUAUCAGCUUGUUGGUGAGGUAAUGGCUCACCAAGGCGACGACGGGUAGCCGGCCUGAGAGGGUGACCGGCCACACUGGGACUGAGACACGGCCCAGACUCCUACGGGAGGCAGCAGUGGGGAAUAUUGCACAAUGGGCGAAAGCCUGAUGCAGCAACGCCGCGUGAGGGACGACGGCCUUCGGGUUGUAAACCUCUUUUAGCAGGGAAGAAGCGAAAGUGACGGUACCUGCAGAAAAAGCACCGGCUAACUACGUGCCAGCAGCCGCGGUAAUACGUAGGGUGCAAGCGUUGUCCGGAAUUAUUGGGCGUAAAGAGCUCGUAGGCGGUUUGUCGCGUCUGCUGUGAAAUCCCGAGGCUCAACCUCGGGUCUGCAGUGGGUACGGGCAGACUAGAGUGCGGUAGGGGAGAUUGGAAUUCCUGGUGUAGCGGUGGAAUGCGCAGAUAUCAGGAGGAACACCGAUGGCGAAGGCAGAUCUCUGGGCCGUAACUGACGCUGAGGAGCGAAAGGGUGGGGAGCAAACAGGCUUAGAUACCCUGGUAGUCCAC
rnacentral:rRNA from 1 species